rnacentral:rRNA from 1 species
GAUGAACGCUGGCGGCGUGCCUAAUACAUGCAAGUCGAGCGAACCUCUUCGGAGGUUAGCGGCGGACGGGUGAGUAACACGUGGGCAACCUACCUUGUAGAUGGGGAUAACAUCGAGAAAUCGGUGCUAAUACCGAAUAACACUUUUCUCCACAUGGAGAAAAGUUAAAAGUUGGCUUUUGCUAACACUACAAGAUGGGCCCGCGGCGCAUUAGCUAGUUGGUGAGGUAACGGCUCACCAAGGCGACGAUGCGUAGCCGACCUGAGAGGGUGAUCGGCCACACUGGGACUGAGACACGGCCCAGACUCCUACGGGAGGCAGCAGUAGGGAAUCUUCCGCAAUGGACGAAAGUCUGACGGAGCAACGCCGCGUGAGUGAUGAAGGCCUUCGGGUCGUAAAACUCUGUUGUUAGGGAAGAACAAGUACCGUUCGAAUAGGGCGGUACCGUGACGGUACCUAACCAGAAAGCCACGGCUAACUACGUGCCAGCCGCCGCAGUAAUAC